rnacentral:misc_RNA from 1 species
AACGGUCUAUACCUGCGGUACCUGCGGAAGGAUCAUUAACAAAUAAUAUAUCCAUAUCCACCUUGUGUGAACCAUUGAAAAGUCCGUUGGCAGGUUGUAACCACAUUGUUAAUGUGUGGGGGAUGUCCAAGUCCAUUGCGAUUUGGCAUCAGCGAGAAGAGUAUUCUUCGGCCUGCCAAUUUUAUUUGUCUCUACUCGUCUAAUAUAAACUUUGGACUUAAAAUUUUAAUAUUUAAUAAA